CUAUUGGAAACGAUAGCUAAUACCGCAUAAAAUUGAUUAUCGCAUGAUAAUCAAUUGAAAGGUGCAAAUGCAUCACUACCAGAUGGACCUGCGUUGUAUUAGCUAGUUGGUGGGGUAACGGCUCACCAAGGCGACGAUACAUAGCCGACCUGAGAGGGUGAUCGGCCACACUGGGACUGAGACACGGCCCAGACUCCUACGGGAGGCAGCAGCG
rnacentral:rRNA from 1 species